CCCCUCCCUACACACUCCAUUCUCCCCACCAGCGAGUCCCUUUUGUUCCUUCCAGUUUCUCCACCUGUCAGCUGCUCAGCCCAGGCAGCUCCUGCCCAGGUGGCCCCAUGUCACCUGCUUCUGUUGGGACAGGUGGAUUAGUGCUGCUGUGCCUAUGGCAGCUGCAGGAGUGCACCUCAGGAAGGUUAUGGGGUGAGGAGAGCAGUGAGAAGCAGCAGGAGCAGUCCAGACGAUUGAGAAGGAAAACUAUAAAGCCAUCCAUGGGGCAUAAAGGUGGAGGUAACUGCACUAUGCUAAUCCUUGCACCCAGCGCUUCUGACAUUAUCAGCAGUAGACUUAAAGGAAAGGGGACCACUUAAUUUUUUUUCUACAUAAAUCUGUGCAUGAAUGUCUUGAAGUUCAGUGGCAUAGGUUUUCCAGCAGCUAAAUGCUGAAAGCAAGGAGUUAUCCAUAGCUGCACACAGACAAACGGGGUAGGGGUGGAGAAUCAUAGAAUCAUAUAAUGGCCUGGGUUGAAAAGAACCACAAUACUCAUCUCGUUCCAACCCCCUGCUAUGUGCAGGGUCACCAACCAGCAGCCCAGGCUGCCCAGAGCCACAUCCAGCCUGGCCUUGAAUGCCUGCAGGGAUGGGGCAUCCACACCUCCUUGGGCAACCUGUACAGUGCGUCACCACCCUCUGCGUGAAAAACUUCCUCCUAAUAUCCAACCUAAACCUCCCCUGUCUCAGUUUAAAACCAUUCCCCCUUGUCCUAUCACUAUCCACACCCAUAAACAGCCAUUCCCCCUCCUGUUUAUACACUCCAUUCAAGUACUGGAAGGCCACAAUGAGGUCUCCCUGGAGCCUUCUCUUCUCCAAGCUCAACAAGCCCAGUUCCCAGGCAAACUACCCUCGCUGUAUCCCUGUUGCACCUUUCCCUUCCGCAGCCCCUGCUCUGGGCACUGCCAUUGCCCCAAGCAGAACAGAGAGGGGUGCUGGGGCUUCCUGCUCUGCAGCUGAAAGAUCAAAACGAAGCCCAUGUGGCUCCGGUGAGCCUCCCUCCCACUGCCUCUCCUGCACAGGGAUGGUUUCCACCUCAGCAGUGGCACAUGGCAGUGGGAGCACUUCCUCCUUCCCCACCACGCAGGGGCUCACCAGCCCCACAGAGCCUCACAGGCCAUGAGCAGGGGCUGGGUGCUCUGCCGGUGCUCCUGCAGAGACAAGCCCAGGAAGGAGCGGUGCAGCGCUGGGGCUGCCGCAGUGGGUUCCCUUCCAGCAGUGGAGCUGCCACGAUGUGCACCGAGCCACAGAAAGCAUCUUGCUGCAGGAACAAACACUGCAAGGCAGCCUGCGGGGAGCUGGAGGAGCCCUCCUGCACACAGCCCAGUUGGGCUGGAAGCCGCCUUCACUCCUCUCCUUGGUGAUAUCUCCUUGUUUAUUAUUUUGCUCACUGUUUGAUCCCUCCAUGUAAGCAAGCUCAAAAUGUCCUUCUCAGGCAGGGGCCCAGCCUCGCUUGGCUCGGUGCUCCAUUUGGAAAUGCAUUACAUUAUUCACUUGUGACCAUAUUAAAAACAGUCCCAAUAUAUGUCUGAGCUCCUCAGGGCUGUCAUAAACUUGCAAUGAUUAAAAGCAGUAACGGGUUGGUAACACUUAAUCUUGGUAGGCGAGACUCUUCAGAGCUUUUCGUGGUGUUCCCAGUGUUGCACACACUGAAACCCUCGGAGUGCUGGGGAUGAGAGCUUUUCGUGGUGUUCCCGGUGCUGCACACACUCGGGGUGUUGGGGAUGAGAGGGUCCCCCUUUCCCAGAGCCCGGCUGGGGGUGGCAGUGCGGGGUCUGAGCCCCACGGGAGGGUGAUGCCCGGGGGCCGGGCGGAG
ensembl:lncRNA